GGAAGUUCAUCUGGUAGGAUGUACUUUGUAAGAAAUCGUGCAAAGUACACAAUAACAAGUGAAUAGAAAAGUCAGAUGAUGAAUCGUAGUAGAAAAGACGGGGGUUCGAAUCCCUCCUUCUCCGCCA
rnacentral:tRNA from 1 species